rnacentral:rRNA from 1 species
GACGAACGCUGGCGGCGUGCCUAAUACAUGCAAGUCGAGCGAAGUUUUUCUGGUGCUUGCACUAGAAAAACUUAGCGGCGCACGGGUGAGUAACACGUAAAGAACCUGCCUCAUAGACUGGGACAACUAUUGGAAACGAUAGCUAAUACCGGAUAACAGUAUUUCUCGCAUGAGAGAUAUUUAAAAGUUGGUUAUGCUAACACUAUGAGAUGGCUUUGCGGUGCAUUAGCUAGUUGGUGGGGUAAAGGCCCACCAAGGCGACGAUGCAUAGCCGACCUGAGAGGGUGAUCGGCCACACUGGGACUGAGACACGGCCCAGACUCCUACGGGAGGCAGCAGUAGGGAAUCUUCCGCAAUGGGCGAAAGCCUGACGGAGCAACGCCGCGUGAGUGAAGAAGGAUUUCGGUUCGUAAAGCUCUGUUGUUAGGGAAGGAUGGAUAUGUAGUAACUAUACAUGUAAGAGACGGUACCUAACCAGAAAGCCACGGCUAACUACGUG